AGCAGCCGCGGUAAUUCCAGCUCCAAUAGCGUAUAUUAAAGUUGCUGCAGUUAAAAAGCUCGUAGUUGAAUUUCGGGACCAUCAUGUUGGUCGUGUCUAGGUACGUACUGGCAUUGUUGGUUUCUCCCUUCUGACGAACCAUGAUGUCAUUUAUUUGGUGUCGUGGGAAAUCAGGACUGUUACUUUGAAAAAAUUAGAGUGUUUAAAGCAGGCUCACGCUUGAAUACAUUAGCAUGGAAUAAUGAAAUAGGACGUCUUGAUUCUAUUUUGUUGGUUUCUAGGAUCGAUGUAAUGAUUAAUAGGGAUAGUUGGGGGCAUUAGUAUUCAAUUGUCAGAGGUGAAAUUCUUGGAUUUAUUGAAGACUAACUACUGCGAAAGCAUUUGCCAAGGAUGUUUUCAUUAAUCAAGAACGAAAGUUAGGGGAUCGAAGACGAUCAGAUACCGUCGUAGUCUUAACCAUAAACUAUGCCGACUAGGGAUCGGAUGAUGUCAAUUUUUUAAUGACUCA
rnacentral:rRNA from 1 species